AGAUUGUCAUAAUGUGUAGUUUCGCAUUUCAUAAAAUCUCGUCCCAUGCCAGCUCUCCUCUCUCUAUCUGUACUCUCUAACAUACGUGAGAUGCCAAUAGUUUUCUUUCUAUCGGAUUUUAUUGUUUUUCGUCCCACGCUUCGACAUUUUCUAUAUUCCUUUUCGUCGACGAUUUUUUCGUGAAGCUUUUCAUCACAUUUUUGCAGAGAAUUUGAGAAACAAAGUAUGAAAAAUGUUUUGUUAUAGUUCCACUUGGUUUCAAAACUUGUUGUUGUGUUUACACACAAUACGUUUAGUGUAAUAACAUUGAGAAGAAUUUUAAUAGUAAUUUGUAGUUGUUUGCGCGCUCUUCUUUGAAUCCGAGUAUCGCUGAAAUCGUUUUGUUAGUUUACUACAAUAAGCGGAAGCGUACAAAUUUACAUGCGCAUGUACGUGUAUUUAAAAGCGUUUUUUAUAAGACAAAGUUAAUCUCAUUUGCCGUAAACACAUUCAUAUGUUCAUAGCUACAGUUGCUUUAAUCUUGUCGAACGAGAAAACUCUUACUAACAUUGCCUACAGGUUGAUAAUCAAAAAUUUGAUCGCUAAUGUUAUGUUUUGAUCAGUUUUCUGCAAAACGUUUUUACAUUUAACAUUGUGACGCGUCAUUUUCUUAUACAAACUUCGUGCAUGCGUCGAUAGAACUGUACUUCCAAAGCAGCAGUUUUUUCAUUAUGUUUUCCUGAUUAAAACAUCGUAUAGAAGAACAUGUAGUCUAAAUCGGCUCCUCUUUGAACUGCAAUUAGAACGCGCUUGUUCUGCGACACAAAAUCCAAGUAAGGUUGGUGUGGAUGUCGUACACAAGUACCUAAUCGUAUCAAAUAUCGAAAUAAAUGUGUACUAAUGAUACAAAGUUAUGAAGGGAUAUCGAAGAUCAAUAAAAUACGGCAUAAUGCUCAGAAAACCGUAGAAAUAGCCGCCGGCUUAAAGAAAGGCCGUGAAGAUAUAAUCGAGAAAGUGAACGAUAUCAACCGACAAAUCGAUGAAACCAUAAAUCAAAUAAAGAUCUCAAAAAACAAACGAGCGCAGUAGCAGGCUUUGGGCAAACAAAAAUAUGAUUUAUCCAAAUGGGAAUAUUCAGAAUUACGUGAUGCAAUUAAUACAUCUUGUGAUAUUGAAUUGUUGGAGGUUAAUUUUCACUUCAUUGCAUUAUCUUUAAAUAAAAGAUAAAAAUAAAAUAUUAGACUUGCCGCCAAGAGUUUCAUCGCCGCCUUAAGGUUUAUCACGCCUGAAAAGUUAAGAAUCGUAAACGUACUACUAUGGAAGAGAAU